CUGAAUCAAAUAAAUGGAUCUCAAACGUUUCUCAAUAGAGUUUAUCCAUUUAUCGAUGUUAGGGAUGUUGCUAAUGUACAUAUUCAAGCAUUUGAAGUUGCUUCAGCUAGUGGAAGAUACUGUGUAGCAGGACCUGUUGUACAUAUCUUAGAGUCUUUGAAGAUUAUACAACACCUAUACCCUUCUUUGACCAUUCCUGACAGAUGUGAAGAUAAUGAGCCUCUCAAGCCAAAGUACCAAGUUUCAAAUUUGAAAGCAAAAAGCUUGGGAAUUAACUUCAUUCCCUUGGAAGUGAGUCCAAGGGACACUGUAGAGAGCUUCAGGAAGAAGGGUCUUUUAAACAUCUAGUAUAGACCACUCACUGGCUAUACAUAGUAGAGUAUUUUGUACUGUACUGUUGUGCUGCUGGUUCUAAAGCUGUGAGCUUGUGUGCGGUCUAAAACUCAUCAAUGUAAGUGACAUCUGUGCUUUGAUGAGGCAAGUUUUUUCAGGAAUUCAAUCAUUUUUCUUUUCUUCAUAGUAAAAUUCCCACAUUUAAAUUUCUCA